GUGCAAGAGCCUUCAAAUGCUUGUCCAUUAUCUUGCAACGGUAGAACUCGCGGUGGAAGAAAUGGCAGAUUGCUUUUUCACUUUUGGUAACUUCCCCCAGAAAUUCUCCUUCAGUUACCUCCCUAUACUCUCCGUGACCUUGUCUUUUUAAAACCUCUCGUUUUUCAGCUUCCCUCUUCAGAGAAGCAAUCCUGUCUGCAUGCAAUUUUUCCAACUCAGGGUCAUCCAUCAAUUCAUCAAGAUCAACAUCUUCAUUG
rnacentral:misc_RNA from 1 species